GACCAUAAGUAACCCUGACUCGAGCCAUGGAGGGCUCUAUCUUUCACUCGGUAGCUCACAGUUCGCUCUAAAGAGUCGCAACUCUGGCAGUAUGAAUGCAGUAACUCUCUGUAACCAUAAUAUUAAUUUUAAUAUUCAGCAUCAUUUCUCAGCGUCCGCGAAUACCAAUUGGCCCAAAUCCUCUUCAAUCCGUCGCAGAAACCCUAACACGGCUACUAGGCCUCCAUCUUUGGUAAUCGAGACAGUGGAGGGCAAAGCUGUUUCAGAUUCUGAACAAACUCCUCCAUACGUUGCUCGUCGCCUCAUUCUGCUUCGUCAUGCUAACAGUUCCUGGGAAGACCCUUCGCUAAAAGAUCAUGAUCGGCCACUGAGUGAAACAGGACAAGCCGAUGCUGUCAAAGUCUCUCAUAAGCUCCAACAGUUGGGUUGGAUACCUCAACUUAUUUUAUCUAGCAAUGCAGUGCGAACCAGGGAAACUCUUACGAUAAUGCAGCAACAAGUGAGAGGCUUCUUGGAAGCUGAGGUCCAUUAUAUUUCAAGCUUUUAUUCCAUCGCGGCCAUGGAUGGGCAGACGGCUGAGCACCUUCAACACGUUAUCUGUAACUAUUCAAGGGACGACAUCCUCACUGUCAUGUGCAUGGGACAUAAUAGGGGUUGGGAGGAGGCCGCCUCAAUGUUCACAGGUGCCUCCAUAGAACUGAAGACUUGCAACGCUGCUUUGCUUGAAACUACUGGGAAAUCUUGGGAUGAGGCAUUUGCUUUGGCAGGACUUGGGGGGUGGAAGCUGCAGGGUAUUGUGAAACCAAGUGCCAGCUUAUAAAAUUUUGCGAUAUUUUGAAUGCCAGCCACAACUUUAACGCACCAUACUAGUCCUUCCUUUUCUCCAACAAGUAUAUCAUAUAUUUGGGGAGAAUGUUUCACGCACUAUCUCAUCCAAAAAAGGAGUCCCCACUGUUGCUAAUUGGAGGACGAAGUAAGAUUGGUGCUACAAGUUUUAAUUCAUUAACUACUUCCUGAAGUUUACUACAGAUCAACACCUGGUUUUGAUAUAUCUAUGAAAGAUUAUAAAGUGAUGUGCUAAUGCAAUCAACAUCUGUUAGAAGAAAUUUUAGGUUUUUUUUUUUUCCUUUGGUCGAAAGAAAUUUAGUUAUUUUUCUUUUUAGUUGAAGGAUUUUUUUUUUUAAGACCUUUUCUAUUGAGAGGGGUGAUAGUAUACUCACACACAAUAUACGGAUGCUAGGAUUCAAACCCAAGGGGAGCAA